CCCUUAGAUGUUCUGGGCUGCACGCGCGCUACACUGAAGCUAUCAACACGUUUUCCCUCCCUGAGAAGGGCGGGUAACCUUUUGAAUCAGCUUCGUGGUAGGGAUCGGGGCUUGCAAUUGUUCCCCGUGAACCAGGAAUUCCUAGUAGACGCGAGUCAUAAGCUCGCAUCGAUUAAGUCCCUGCCCUUUGUACACACCGCCCGUCGCUACUACCGAUUGAACGUUUUAGUGAGGCAUUUGGACCGACGCAUCUCAGUUUAACCGCUGGUUUGUGUUAGAAAGACUUCCAAACUUGAGCGUUUAGAGGAAGUAAAAGUCGUAACA
rnacentral:rRNA from 1 species